UGUCCAGGGAUGGGAAUCGAACCCACAGUAUACAGUUUACCGUGCCUUGUCCACUAGGCUACUCUGGAC